AACGAACGCUGGCGGCAGGCCUAACACAUGCAAGUCGAGCGAGGACUUCGGUCCUAGCGGCGGACGGGUGAGUAACGCGUGGGAACGUGCCCCUUGGUACGGAAUAGCCCCGGGAAACUGGGAGUAAUACCGUAUGAGCUCUACGGAGGAAAGAUUUAUCGCCAAGGGAUCGGCCCGCGUUGGAUUAGGUAGUUGGUGGGGUAAUGGCCUACCAAGCCGACGAUCCAUAGCUGGUUUGAGAGGAUGAUCAGCCACACUGGGACUGAGACACGGCCCAGACUCCUACGGGAGGCAGCAGUGGGGAAUCUUAGACAAUGGGCGCAAGCUUGAUCUAGCCAUGCCGCGUGAGCGAUGAAGGCCUUAGGGUUGUAAAGCUCUUUCAGCGAGGAAGAUAAUGACUGUACUCGCAGAAGAAGCCCCGGCUAGCUCCGUGCCAGCAGCCGCAGUAACAC
rnacentral:rRNA from 1 species